UCCCUUCGGGGAGCGAGUACAGUGGCGAACGGGUGAGUAACGGGUGGAAAACCUGCCCUUCAAUGGGGGAUAACAGUUCUAACGAGCUGCUAAUACCGCAUACGACCUUUGGUCCGCAUGUUCCAAAGGUGAAAGGUGGCCUCUCUUUGAAGCUGCCGUUGAAGGAUGGUUCCGCGUCCCAUUAGCUUGUUGGUGGGGUAAUGGCCUACCAAGGCGACGAUGGGUAGCCGGCCUGGGAGGGUGUCCGGCCACACUGGGACUGAGAUACGGCCCAGACUCCUACGGGAGGCAGCAGUCGAGAAGCUUCGGCAAUGGGCGAAAGCCUGACCGAGCGAUGCCGCGUGAGUGAAGAAGGCCCUAUGGGUUGUAAAGCUCUGUCAGAUUGGGAAGAAAAUCCUACGGUUAAUACCCGUGGGACUUGACCGUACCAUCAGAGGAAGCACCCGCUAACUCCGUGCCA
rnacentral:rRNA from 1 species